CCGACAAUUCCCCAUUAAUCAAUUUAUCCACAAAAUGAACCAACAGGAAGAAAAGACACAGAAAAAAAGGGCAUUUUUUCUUUCUUUUCAAAUAAAUCACUAUAACUCAAAGGCAAAACAAAUUAAAUUAAAGAUUACAAUUUUCAAUACUAUCAUCAUCAUCAUAGGCAGCAGCUACAAAGCAGAGAGUACUGUCGCAGCAGAUGAAUGAAUAUCAAGUAGCAGUAGUAAGUAUGAAUUAGGAAAAUGAACCAACAUCACCAAGUUUGGACUAACCCCAACUUUGGCGUGAACCUCAGUUUUUUGUGGUCACGGGGACCACAGUUUGCAGCAGCAUCAAUCAUAGAUUUCUGCAAUUUCCCAAAUCGCGCUGACAAAAUGCAAUUUACAAGCUCCAUGAUCAAGAAGAAGGAAGCUUGAUAGCUUUGAAAGCAGGGUGAAGCAACCCAAGAUCAUCCUUGAUCUCAAGAGGGUUUCCAGUGUCAUUCCUCACUUUCUUCACCCUGCGACUUGCAAGGGUCUUGUGAGUGAAGCCAUACAUCUGCAAAAUCUGGUUAUCCCCAAAAUUAUAAGCCCUAUCCAUCUGCUUCAAGCACCUCUCCACAGGGUAAUCACCAAACUUCCCACAAGGCUUGCACCCCACAAAGUGGGUCACCAAAGGCCACCUAUGAUC
rnacentral:lncRNA from 1 species